rnacentral:sRNA from 1 species
CUGGUGCACCCAUACCGAGCGGCGGUCCUGAGGGCUAUGGAGAGGGUCCUGAGCAGUCGCGCCAGUGAGCUGGACAAGGACACAGCCAGCACCAUCAUCCUCCUGGCCUCCAACGAGAUGACCAAGACGAAGGACCUGGUCUGGGACUGGCAGCAGGCGGCGAGUGGUGUCCUGGUGGCCGUGGGAAAGCAGUUCAUCAGCAAGGUGAUGGAGGAGCUGCUGCGCAGGCUGCACCCCGGGACCCUGCCACACUGCGCCGUGCUGCACACCCUCGCCAGCCUCUCAGUGGCCAACGCGUUCGGCGUAGUCCCCUUCCUGCCAUCCGUCCUGAGCUCCCUGCUGCCCGUGCUGGGCAUGGCCAAGCAGGACACGGUGCGUGUGGCGUUCUGCUCCGCUCUGCAGCGCUUCAGCGAGGGUGCCCUGGAGUACCUGGCCAACCUGGACCGAGCCCCAGACCCCACGGUCAGGAAGGACGCCUUUGCCACCGACAUCUUCAGUGCCUACGAUGUUCUCUUCCACCAGUGGCUGCAGAGUCGCGAAGCCAAGCUGCGUCUUGCCGUGGUGGAGGCUCUGGGGCCUAUGAGCCAUCUGCUGCCCAGUGAGAGGCUGGAAGAGCAGCUGCCCAAGCUCCUCCCUGGGAUCCUCGCCCUCUACAAGAAGCACGCAGAGACCUUCUACUUGUCCAAGAGCCUGGGCCAGAUCCUCGAGGCGGCCGUGAGUGUGGGCAGCCGCACACUGGAGACCCAACUGGAUGCCCUCUUGGCUGCACUGCACUCCCAGAUCUGUGUGCCUGUGGAGUCCUCAAGCCCCCUGGUGAUGAGUAACCAGAAGGAGGUGCUGCGCUGCUUCACUGUGCUGGCCUGCAGCUCGCCUGACCGCCUACUGGCCUUCCUGCUGCCCAGGCUGGACACCAGCAAUGAGAGGACCCGCGUGGGCACCCUGCAGGUGGUCAGACAUGUCAUCAACUCGGCUGGUGAGUGCCUCCAUGCCAGCCUGGCCGCCACCCCUGGCCGUGUCCAGGAUGGAGCAGGUCCUGGCAGAUUGUGUCCCUCUAAGUGAAAGCACCAUCCUGCUUUGAAUUCUCUAGAAAGAUUUCCCUGCUUUCUAUUUUGCAAAAUUCUAAACUUUUUGCAAAGUUGCGAGGGUGGUACCUAUCUACCCUUCACCAGAUGGUAGUGCCUCACACUUGCUUUGACAGCUGGCGGCAGACACCACGCGUGGCCACACUCCCCAGGUGACCAUGCCUCUGAGGGCUCCCAGAGCCUAAGACAGCCAUCCCUGAGCCCACUGCUCUAGCUCAUUCUGGGAUCUAUUCAAAGACAUACUUUGGUUUAGUUUGGUUGUCUCUUAGACUUGUUUGCCCAAGAGGAGCCUUUUUACUCUUUUUAAGAGAUGAGGAGACCAAUUGUUUCAUAGAAUGUCCCUCGAUUUACAUAUGUGUGAUGGUUUCUUCGCAGUUAGACUAAAAAAAUUCAUGUUUCCUUGUUUUAAGGCUAAUUUUUUUUUUAAGUGGUCUUGUUCUGUCGCCAGGCUGGAGUGCAGUGGCACGAUCUUGGCUCCCUGCAACCUCCACCUCCCAGGUUCACACCAUUCUCCAGCCUCAGCCUC